rnacentral:rRNA from 1 species
UACGGCGAGUGAGCGGCAACAGCUCAAAUUUGAAAUCUGGCUCUUUUAGAGUCCGAGUUGUAAUUUGCAGAGGGCGCUUUGGCUUUGGCAGCGGUCCAAGUUCCUUGGAACAGGACGUCACAGAGGGUGAGAAUCCCGUACGUGGUCGCUGGCUAUUGCCGUGUAAAGCCCCUUCGACGAGUCGAGUUGUUUGGGAAUGCAGCUCUAAAUGGGAGGUACAUUUCUUCUAAAGCUAAAUAUUGGCCAGAGACCGAUAGCGCACAAGUAGAGUGAUCGAAAGAUGAAAAGCACUUUGGAAAGAGAGUCAAACAGCACGUGAAAUUGUUGAAAGGGAAGCGCUUGCAGCCAGACUUGCUUACAGUUGCUCAUCCGGGUUUCUACCCGGUGCACUCUUCUGUAGGCAGGCCAGCAUCAGUUUGGGCGGUAGGAUAAAGGUCUCUGUCACGUACCUCCUUUCGGGGAGGCCUUAUAGGGGAGACGACAUACUACCAGCCUGGACUGAGGUCCGCGCAUCUGCUAGGAUGCUGGCGUAAUGGCUGUAAGCGGCCCGUCUUG